rnacentral:rRNA from 1 species
CGUAGGAGGCAAGCGUUAUCCGGAUUCACUGGGCGUAAAGCGCGUGCAGGCGGUGCGGUAAGUUAGGCGUGAAAUCUCCCGGCUCAACUGGGAGAGGUCGUCUAAUACUACCGUACUUGAGAGCAGAAGAGGAAGAUGGAAUUCCCGGUGUAGUGGUGAAAUGCGUAGAUAUCGGGAGGAACACCAGUGGCGAAGGCGAUCUUCUGGUCUGUUUUUGACGCUCACACGCGACAGCUAGGGUAGUAAACGGGAUUAGAGACCCCGGUAAUCCUAGCCGUAAACGAUGUGAACUUGGCGUUGGUGGGUUAAACUCCAUCAGUGCCGUAGCAAACGCGAUAAGUUCACCGCCUGGGGACUACGGCGCAAGGU